ACACGGGCCACGGCAGAAUGCACGCAGGACAUGGCUAACCUCUUAGGUCACCACAAGGUGGGUUAAGGGUUUGUAUUUCUGACCAUAGCGAUUGCUCUUGGAUCAGCUAGAAAUGGAACCUCCUGAUCCCGAGAAGUGAACAGCACGAUGAUCCUCAGCAAACUCAAGAAACAACUCCAUCACUAAUAGUCUUGAAGAGGACAGAUCCCCAUUUCUAAUAUGUUUCAUUUCGACACAUUA